rnacentral:lncRNA from 1 species
GUCUCCACCAGAAAUCCAAGAAUGUGAUCUAUGGCAAGGAAACAUAUGUGGGGUGAGGUGUACGAGCCUCUGGUCGAUGAUCAAUGGCCACAGAACCCCCAUUUUGCCGAAAAUAGCCAUGAACGACCAUUUUCAAUAAUACCGAAGGCUAACACGUACGAGUUUUUGACCAAGAAAUGGUCUCCACCAAAAAUCCAAGAAUGUGAUCUAUGGCAAGGAAACAUAUGUGGGGUGAGAUUUAUGAGCCUCUAGUCGAUGAUAAAUGGCCACACAACCCCCAUUUUUUUAUGAAAAUAGCCAUGAGCGACCAUUUUCAAUAAUAUUAGAGGCUAAGACCUACGGAUUUUUGACCAAGAAAUGGUCUCCACCAGAAAUCCAAGAAUGUGAUCUAUGGCAAGGAAACAUAUGUGGGGUGAGGUGUAUGAGCCUCUGGUCGAUGAUCAAUGGCCACACAACCCCCAUUUUUGUCGAAAAUAGCCAUGAAUGACCAUUUACAAUAAUACCGAAGGCUAACACCUACGGAUUUUUUACCAAGAAAUGGUCUCCACCAGAAAUCCAAGAAUGUGAUCUAUGGCAAGGAAACAUAUGUGGGGUGAGGUGUAUGAGCCUCUGGUCGAUGAUCAAUGGCCACACAACCCCAUUUUUGUCAAAAUAGCCAUGAACGACCAUUUUCAAUAAUAUCGAAGGCUAACACCUACGGAUUUUUGACCAAGAAAUGGUCUCCACCAGAAAUCCAAGAAUGUGAUCUACGACAAGGAAACAUAUGUGGGGUGAGGUGUAUGAGCCUCUGGUCGACGAUCAAUGGCCACACAACCCCCAUUUUGCCGAAAAUAGCCAUGAAUGACCAUUUUCAAUAAUACCGAAGGCUAACACGUACGAGUUUUUAACCAAGAAAUGGUUUCCACCAGAAAUCCAAGAAUGUAAUCUAUGGCAAGGAAACAUAUGUGGGGUGAGGUUUAUGAGCCUCUAGUCGAUGAUAAAUGGCCACACAACCCCCAUUUUUUAUGAAAAUAGCCAUGAGCGACCUUGAAAAUAGCCAUGAGCGACCAUUUUCAAUAAUAUUAGAGGCUAAGACCUACGGAUUUUUGACCAAGAAAUGGUCUCCACCAGAAAUCCAAGAAUGUGAUCUAUGGCAAGGAAACAUAUGUGGGGUGAGGUGUAUGAGCCUCUGGUCGAUGAUCAAUGGCCACACAACCCCCAUUUUUGUCGAAAAUAGCCAUGAAUGACCAUUUACAAUAAUACCGAAGGCUAACACCUACGGAUUUUUGACCAAGAAAUGGUCUCCACCAGAAAUCCAAGAAUGUGAUCUAUGGCAAGGAAACAUAUGUGGGGUGAGGUGUAUGAGCCUCUGGUCGAUAAUCAAUGGCCACACAACCCCCAUUUUUGUCGAAAAUAGCCAUGAACGACCAUUUUCAAUAAUAUCGAAGGCUAACACCUAUGGAUUUUUGACCAAGAAAUGGUCUCCACCAGAAAUCCAAGAAUGUGAUCUACGACAAGGAAACAUAUGUGGGGUGAGGUGUAUGAGCCUCUGGUCGACGAU